GUAGAGCAAGUCUGUAUUAGUUAGCAAUAAAGAUGGAGAAAAAUAAUUCAGCCUUGGCCCAUUGCAGAAAACCUCACUGGUGCUUGGAUAAACGCUGGGUGGGGGGAAACCUUCAGAGUGCCCUUGAUAGCCACGUUUGCAAUGAAGGUCUCUAAUUGACUUUCUAUUAGAGAGAAAGGGGGGAAAGGAGGCGGGAAAAGAAGAACAGCUAUCCCAGAACUCCCAGUCCUCUCCCAGGCUAACAUUUUCCAAGUUCGCUGACGUAUGUGAAAGAAAAACAGAAGAUAACUGCACAUCCCAGGCGGGCCCCUCUCAUUACUCCUAUCAGCCCCGUGGUCAGUUGCGCUCCCUCCCUGACCCCCUCCAGUCUGCAAAAGUGAUACUUUCCCAGUUUUCAGCACUUUUGCUAAGCAACGCUUGGGUGCGCCCCCAUCUGCAGGUGCAGCUGAGGCCUUGGCAAGCAGCAGGCUGGUUAUCGCUCCAGAAAACAGCUACACUGUCUUGUUAAUUCUUCUUCAAGGUCUUGAGCAAAGCAUAAAUUCUGAUGGGGAAGAACUUGGAGCAUUUAGGAGCCCAGACAGCGAAUCAGGUACCACUGGAAGAGGAGCAGCUACUGCAAAGAUCAUCUGACUGGUUUAUACAGAAAUGUAAUGUGUGUACUACUGCAGAUGCCUGCCCACAAAUCCACAUGUAUGUUUAUUCUCCAGGUUGGCUAGCAGUAUGUUGCAAAGUGCUGGAUUUCUGUUGAUUCUGCUCGUUGUUCCUUUUUCCUAUGCAUAUACUUCUUUGAGAAUUUGAUCUAAAGAGGCAUACGGCAUGGGAAAAUGGGGCGAUUGAGGUGUUCCACCGGCCUCCUCCUCUGCUGCAAGAUGUCUUUCAGGGGCAUUUCAGAAGUGCAAUCUUUUUAAAAAAAAAAUACUCUUACAUACUGAACACAGUGGGACUUAUUUGUGAGUAAGCAUGCAUUUGAUUCAAUUUGAUUGUGAACUUGAUAUAUGUGACAGCCCAGUUCUGCUCAUUGGAGCUCCAAGUUUAUUCCCCAAGUGAUUGUGCACAGAAUUGCUGCCCUAAUAUUUGGGAUUUUGAUUGAACUUUGCAUAAUGAUGUAUUGAAUUUGAGCUUGUAUUGCAAUUAUGUCAAAAAGCACAGUCUAACAAAUUCUGUUUGUGAAAAACAGUUAUUUCAAUUGUCCUAUUGGCUUUUGUUUUGAUUUGUAAAUAUAAUUUUCCCUCUGAGUUCAACAACAAUAAAAGUGUUCUGUUUUUGA